UACGGAGGGUGCAAGCGUUAUCCGGAUUCACUGGGUUUAAAGGGUGCGUAGGCGGGCAAGUAAGUCAGUGGUGAAAUCUCCAGGCUUAACCUGGAAACUGCCAUUGAUACUAUUUGUCUUGAAUUACGUGGAGGUGAGCGGAAUAUGUCAUGUAGCGGUGAAAUGCUUAGAUAUGACAUAGAACACCAAUUGCGAAGGCAGCUCACUACACGUUGAUUGACGCUGAGGCACGAAAGCGUGGGGAUCAAACAGG
rnacentral:rRNA from 1 species